GUAACAAAAAACAAAUAGUUGCUUUAUUGAUCUGAAUGGCACAACCCAAAAAACAAGAACAGACUACCAAGUAUCACACAAAUAAUAAUCAGAUCAAUGUCAUUGAACUAGAGUUAUACAUUGCAUUUCAAAUUGUUAUAAGCUAUUGCAAAAAUAAGCAUUACAUAAAAAAAAUUGAUUGCAUACUGACAAUAUCAUAUUGAACUAGAGGUAUCCAUUCCAUGUUUCUCCUCAAUCUUGAGACUAAGACCU